UGCCUGGAGGGUACCCCGUCCUCAGAGUGGCCCGCUCAGCGGCAGGUGCAGGCGGUGGCCGCUGUCCACUCUGGAGCGGAUGAGCGGACUCGACAAGAGCCAGUGGCUGUGCUUCAGCUGUGGCAGAAAAAUAUGUAGUAGCCAGAGGGGAAGAUGUCAAGAGAGACAGUAGCAGAGAAAAUACCACAGAUCUUUGGAUCAAUUUCUGUGAAUUAAUCUAUUUAACACUUGGAAUGGAAUUUGGCUCUUCACGGCUUUCAGUUGAAGAUGACUGCCCCCCGUGGUGUGGUGUCAGCGUUGCAGAUGCCUAUUUUAUUCACAGCAGCAGCAGUAACUGACUACCAGAGCAGAAAUAAUCUUCUAGUGGCUUGCCAGAGUUAAUUUUCUCCCUAAAUAUUUAAUUUAACCAGCCAGUGAAAUACUGUGGGUCUGUAUAAUCCACUAAAGUAGAAUGCAGGUAUACCUCAUGAACAUGCAGAUUUGUUCAUAUAACAGAAUAUUCAGUAAAUUUGAAACUAUAUAUAUUUAGCUUAAUUAUGCAAUGCUACUCUGGUGU